rnacentral:rRNA from 1 species
GACGAACGCUGGCGGCGUGCUUAACACAUGCAAGUCGAACGAUGAAGCCCAGCUUGCUGGGUGGAUUAGUGGCGAACGGGUGAGUAACACGUGGGCAACCUGCCCCAAACUCUGGGAUAACUCCUCGAAAGAGGUGCUAAUACCGGAUACGAACUAGACAGACAUCUGUACUAGUUGGAAAGUUUUUCGGCUUGGGAUGGGCCCGCGGCCUAUCAGCUUGUUGGUGAGGUAACGGCUCACCAAGGCUACGACGGGUAACCGGCCUGAGAGGGCGACCGGUCACACUGGGACUGAGACACGGCCCAGACUCCUACGGGAGGCAGCAGUGGGGAAUAUUGCGCAAUGGGCGAAAGCCCGACGCAGCGACGCCGCGUGAGGGAUGAAGGUCUUCGGAUCGUAAACCUCUUUCAGUAGGGACGAAGCGAAAGUGACGGUACCUAAAGAAGAAGCACCGGCUAACUACGUGCCAGCCGCCGCGGUAA